rnacentral:sRNA from 1 species
AUUAACCAAUCACGCUCACUAUGGCGUUAUAGCUGUUGUCGUGACUGCGGAUGUACCAGCACUGAUGACAGCGUAAAAAAGGCCGGGCAAUUUGCCGGCCUUUUUCAUU